rnacentral:rRNA from 1 species
UCUUUGGAGAGUUUGAUCCUGGCUCAGGACGAACGCUGGCGGCGUGCCUAAUACAUGCAAGUCGAGCGAACCAA